rnacentral:snoRNA from 1 species
GGAUCGAUGAUGACACCCACAAACGCAUUCUUGGAAAUCUGAACAAAAUGAGUGAGAACUCACUACCGUCUCUCAUCGCAAACUGAGUCC